rnacentral:rRNA from 1 species
CGGACGGGUGAGUAAUGUCUGGGAAACUGCCCGAUGGAGGGGGAUAACUACUGGAAACGGUAGCUAAUACCGCAUAACGUCGCAAGACCAAAGAGGGGGACCUUCGGGCCUCUUGCCAUCGGAUGUGCCCAGAUGGGAUUAGCUAGUAGGUGGGGUAACGGCUCACCUAGGCGACAAUCCCUAGCUGGUCUGAGAGGAUGACCAGCCACACUGGAACUGAGACACGGUCCAG